rnacentral:rRNA from 1 species
AACGAACGCUGGCGGCAUGCCUAACACAUGCAAGUCGAACGAGACCUUCGGGUCUAGUGGCGCACGUGUGCUUAACGCGUGGUAACCUGCCCUUAGGUUCGGAAUAACUCCCCGAAAGGGGUGCUAAUACCGGAUAAUGUCUUCGGACCAAAGAUUUAUCGCCUUUGGAUGGGCCCGCGUUGGAUUAGCUAGUUGGUAGGGUAAAAGCCUACCAAGGCGACGAUCCAUAGCUGGUCUGAGAGGAUGAUCAGCCACACUGGGACUGAGACACGGCCCAGACUCCUACGGGAGGCAGCAGUGGGGAAUAUUGGACAAUGGGGGAAAGUCUGAUCCAGCAAUGCCGCGUGAGUGAUGAAGGCCUUAGGGUUGUAAAGCUCUUUUACCCGGGAUGAUAAUGACAGUACCGGGAGAAUAAGCUCCGGCUAACUCCGUG